rnacentral:rRNA from 1 species
AGCGAACGCUGGCGGCAUGCUUAACACAUGCAAGUCGCGCGGGUGGUUUCGGCCAUCAGCGGCGGACGGGUGAGUAUCGCGUAGGAAUGUAUCCCGAGGUGGGGGACAACCCUGGGAAACUGGGGCUAAUACCGCAUGGGGCCUGUGGGUCAAAGCCUUAGGGCGCCUUGGGAGCAGCCUGCGUCCGAUUAGGUAGUUGGUGGUGUAAAGGCCUACCAAGCCUGCGAUCGGUAGCUGGUCUGAGAGGACGAUCAGCCACACUGGGACUGAGGCACGGCCCAGACUCCUGCGGGAGGCAGCAGUGGGGAAUAUUGGACAAUGGACGCAAGCCUGAUCCAGCAAUGCCGCGUGGGUGAAGAAGGUCUUCGGAUUGUAAAGCCCUUUCGGCGGGGACGAUGAUGACGGUACCCGCAGAAGAAGCCCCGGCUAACUUCGUG